UACGGAGGGUGCAAGCGUUGUCCGGAUUUAUUGGGUUUAAAGGGUGCGUAGGCGGCCCUGUAAGUCAGUGGUGAAAUACUGCAGCUUAACUGUAGCAUUGCCAUUGAUACUGUAGGGCUUGAGUACAGAUGAGGUAGGCGGAAUUGAUGGUGUAGCGGUGAAAUGCGUAGAUAUCAGGAGGAACACCGGUGGCGAAGGCGGAUCUCUGGGCCUUACCUGACGCUCAGGCGCGAAAGCUAGGGGAGCGAACUGG
rnacentral:rRNA from 1 species